rnacentral:lncRNA from 1 species
UGUUGUUAAAGCUGUGGUAGGAGGGAUGAGAUCUCAACCGUCUCACACUGGCCUGUGAGCCACACUGCCGUUCAAACUUCCGUACAAAAUCCAUACUGGUAGUGUACUUCUCAUGAAACACAUCUGGGUUUCCAGGGUUAAACAGUGAUGGCAAUUUUUCUUCUAAACCACGUACUAUUUCUGGCCACACUGAGUUCACUAAGAAAUCAUAUCCAGGAACAAUAUCUGCUUUUUCACUUGAAAUAGCUCCCCCUG